rnacentral:lncRNA from 1 species
UUAAUUAGAAUGGUUGUUUUCUUGUCUUUCCACCCAAAUAAACCCGCUCUUUCUCUGUGUUUCACAUGUUUGUUGCAUGAAACCCUUCUUUUCAGCCUCUUUACACUUUCCUUUGGCUUUAUAUGAAUGCUCUGGACACACAGGAGAAAAAUAAUUAAAAUGUGUUAAAUAUUAAAUCUAUUUAUGUUGCAUUUUCCUCAUAGACAGAAAAUAAAUCAAACCAAAAACAAAUGUUCUAACUCUAGAAAGUCAGCCUGUAUAAUAUAUUAAAAGCUAGCUUUGUUUUAUUUAAUUGUGUUUUUAUUUAUUUUUUGUUAAUUAUCUUUUUUAAGAGCAAAAAUAAAAAGUCCUCCUUGCUGGGUCCAAAAAUGACAACAGAGAGAAAAUGAGAUGUCAGAAAGUGAUCAUUUCUACGACGUCCCUGUGACCAUCACUGUGUUCUUCUGAUCAGACACAGUCAUCAAGACUGUCUCCUUCUUCAUCCUGGCACGUCACGUGGAGUCUUUAUUCGUGCUGAGCCUUCUUUAGAAGGUCUGAUUCCACCAUGACCAGCUGAGAGUCAUCAGUCACCUCUAACAGUGCCUGCAUCUCUGGGCCAUCCACAUUCACCAGCUCAUCUUCCUCGACCUCCACAUCCAACCCAGCAUCCUCUUCCCCAGGCUGCGCCUCUGCCUCCGUCACCUCCACCAUCUCUGUGUUCUGCAGCACCUCCUCUUCUCCUUCACGGAUCUUCUUAACAUGGAAGGUGAAGGGAGGGACUCGAUACACAGUUGUCUUGGAGCGAGCGUAGACGGUGUGAUCUGGUGUGAGGGACUUUUUCAUCUUUUCUUUGGAGCUUUUAAUCUUGGCUCUGCGCUCCAUGUUCGGGGUCAUGCGGGUUCCGAGUUUGCCCAUUUUCUUCUCCAAGCUGUGCUUUGUUUUCUCCAGGUUGUCACGGGUUCGCUGCCUUGUCUUUUCCAGGUUCUCCCGGGUCCUCUGCUUGGUCUUUUCCAAGUUUUCCUUGGUCUUUAUUUUGGUCUUCUCCAUUUUCUCUUUGGAGAACGCUUUCUUGAUGUUGUCCACUUGCUGCUUGGUGGCAUGUUGGAAGCGCUUUGUACGAGACUCCACUAUUAUUUCAUCAACAACAACUUCUUCAUCUGAGUUGGGAUUUUCUCUGACAUCCUCUUGUCCUUCUUCAGCUAUCUGCUCCAGACCGUCUGUUGCUUUACCUUCAGCUGUCUCUGCUAUCUUGGAUUUGGAUUGCUUUGUUGCCAGUGAUGAAAGGGAGUCUGAUGUACUUGUUAUGUUGCAGAAGUUUGCACUUCCUAGGGCUUUUUGA